GCUGAUCAAAGACCGCGGUACUUUGCUACACACAAGAGACUUUGCCCCUUGUCUCUACCUCUCGCAAAGGGGCUAAGGUCCGAGUAAACUGUCCCUCAAUGUCGGUGCCUCGUGCCCUUCAUUGGCUACGUCCUGUCGAGUCAGAAGCGCCCGCAAGGGUUCGUGGACGGCAGACGGCAGUGACAAGAGCUCGAGACGAGCCGAUCGGUCAUCUCGAUACGCGUGCGCUACCAGAAAUACCUCUGGUCUUUGCUUCUUUACUUUCCCAAAGACGCUUCUCAAAAGGAAGACGAGGGAGAUAAGAAGUCUGAUCAGAUUGGCAAUGGUGCAUAGGGACUGCCCUUUGCUUGUUUCACGAUUGCGAUGUCGUCCCAUCCAUCGGGACAGCGAAGCGGCUUGAGUGCAAUCCGCGGUGUGCUACCCACACAUGCUCUUCCAGAGCGUGCGCAUAACUCAAUUCGGACUACUCUUGAUCAGC
rnacentral:RNase_P_RNA from 2 species